CCCAAGACCCCCCAGCGGAAAAAUGGCCAAAAAACGGUGGGCUAUAGCCUUGGUGGGGGGCGUGGGCGAAGUUCGUCCGUGGGACUCGGAAUGGCACCAGACUUGGCGGGCGGCCUCCGUGUGCCAAAAAUAGGCCACGGGCACAGCCGCGCCCAAAAAACAACCCCCGAAGUUCGGGGUCCCAAGACCCCCCAGCGGAAAAAUGGCCAAAAAACGGGUGGGCUAUAGCCUUGGUGGGGGGCGUGGGCGAAGUUCGUCCGCGGGACUCGGAAUGGCACCAGACUUGGCGGGCGGCCUCCGUGUGCCAAAAAUAGGCCACGGGCACAGCCGCGUCCAAAAAACAGCCCCCGAAGUUCGGGGUCCCAAGACACCCCAGCGGAAAAAUGGCCAAAAAACGGUGGGCUAUAGCCUUGGUGGGGGGCGUGGGCGAAGUUCGUCCGCGGGACUCGGAAUGGCACCAGACUUGGCGGGCGGCCUCCGUGUGCCGAAAAUAGGCCACGGGCACAGCCGCGCCCAAAAAACAACCCCCGAAGUUCGGGGUCCCAAGACCCCCCAGCGGAAAAAUGGCCAAAAAACGGUGGGCUAUAGCCUUGGUGGGGGGCGUGGGCGAAGUUCGUCCAUGGGACUCGGAAUGGCACCAGAGUUGGCGGGCGGCCUCCGUGUGCCAAAAAUAGGCCACGGGCACAGCCGCGCCCAAAAAACAGCCCCCGAAGUUCGGGGUCCCAAGACCCCCCAGCGGAAAAAUGGCCAAAAAACGGGUGGGCUAUAGCCUUGUUGGGGGGCGUGGGUGAAGUUCGUCCGCAGGACUCGGAAUGGCACCAGACUUGGCGGGCGGCCUCCGUGUGCCAAAAAUAGGCCACGGGCACAGCCGCGCCCAAAAAACAGCCCCCGAAGUUCGGGGUCCCAAGACCCCCCAGCGGAAAAAUGGCCAAAAAACGGGUGGGCUAUAGCCUUGUAGGGGGCGUGGGUGAAGUUCGUCCGCAGGACUCGGAAUGGCACCAGACUUGGCGGGCGGCCUCCGUGUGCCAAAAAUAGGCCACUGGCACAGCCGCGCCCAAAAAACAGCCCCCGAAGUUCGGGGUCCCAAGACCCCCCAGCGGAAAAAUGGCCAAAAAACGGUGGGCUAUAGCCUUGGUGGGGGGCGUGGGCGAAGUUCGUCCGUGGGACUCGGAAUGGCACCAGACUUGGCGGGCGGCCUCCGUGUGCCAAAAAUAGGCCACCGGCACAGCCGCGCCGAAAAAACAACCCCCGAAGUUCGGGGUCCCAAGACCCCCCAGCGGAAAAAUGGCCAAAAAACGGUGGGCUAAAGCCUUGGUGGGGUGCGUGGGCGAAGUUCGUCCGCGGGACUCGGAAUGGCACCAGACUUGGCGGGCGGCCUCCGUGUGCCAAAAAUAAACCACGGGCACAGCCGCGCCCAAAAAAUAGCCCCCGAAGUUUGGGUCCCAAGACCCCCCAGCGGAAAAACGGCCAAAAAACGGGUGGGCUAUAGCCUUGGUGGGGGGCGUGGGCGAAGUUCGUCCGCGGGACUCGGAAUGGCACCAGACUUGGCGGGCGGCCUCCGUGUGCCAAAAAUAGGCCACGGGCCCAGCCGCGCCCAAAAAACAGCCCCCGAAGUUCGGGGUCCCAAGACCCCCCAGCGGAAAAAUGGCCAAAAAACGGUGGGCUAUAGCCUUGGUCGGGGGCGUGGGCGAAGUUCGUCCGUGGGACUCGGAAUGGCACCAGACUUGGCGGGCGGCCUCCGUGUGCACAAUAAAUAAGGCCACGGGCACAAUCCGCGCCCAAAAAACAAGCCCCCGAAGUUCGGGGUCCCAAGACCCCCCAGCUGGAAAAAUGGCGCAAAAAACGGGUGGGCUAUAGCCUUGGUGGGGGGCGUGGGCGAAGUUUGUCCGCGGGACUCGGAAUGGGCACCAGAUUUGGCGGGUGGCCUCCGUGUGCCAAAAAUAGUCCACGGGCACAGCCGCGUCCAAAAAACAGCCCCCGAAGUUGGGGGUCCCAAGACACCCCAGCGGAAAAAUGGCCAAAAAACGGUGGGUUAUAGCCUUGGUGGGGGGCGUGGGCGAAGUUCGUCCGCGGGACUCGGAAUGGCACCAGACUUGGCGGGCGGCCUCCGUGUGCCGAAAAUAGGCCACGGGCACAGCCGCGCCCAAAAAACAACCCCCGAAGUUCGGGGUCCCAAGACCCCCCAGCGGAAAAAUGGCCAAAAAACGGUGGGCUAUAGCCUUGGUGGGGGGCGUGGGCGAAGUUCGUCCAUGGGACUCGGAAUGGCACCAGAGUUGGCGGGCGGCCUCCGUGUGCCAAAAAUAGGCCACGGGCACAGCCGCGCCCAAAAAACAGCCCCCGAAGUUCGGGGUCCCAAGACCCCCCAGCGGAAAAAUGGCCAAAAAACGGGUGGGCUAUAGCCUUGUUGGGGGGCGUGGAUGAAGUUCGUCCGCAGGACUCGGAAUGGCACCAGACUUGGCGGGCGGCCUCCGUGUGCCAAAAAUAGGCCACGGGCACAGCCGCGCCCAAAAAACAGCCCCCGAAGUUCGGGGUCCCAAGACCCCCCAGCGGAAAAAUGGCCAAAAAACGGGUGGGCUAUAGCCUUGUUGGGGGGCGUGGGUGAAGUUCGUCCGCAGGACUCGGAAUGGCACCAGACUUGGCGGGCGGCCUCCGUGUGCCAAAAAUAAGCCACGGGCACAGCCGCGCCCAAAAAACAGCCCCCGAAGUUCGGGGUCCCAAGACCCCCCAGCGGAAAAAUGGCCAAAAAACGGGUGGGCUAUAGCCUUGUUGGGGGGCGUGGGUGAAGUUCGUCCGCAGGACUCGGAAUGGCACCAGACUUGGCGGGCGGCCUCCGUGUGCCAAAAAUAGGCCACGGGCACAGCCGCGCCCAAAAAACAGCCCCCGAAGUUCGGGGUCCCAAGACCCCCCAGCGGAAAAAUGGCCAAAAAACGGUGGGCUAUAGCCUUGGUGGGGGGCGUGGGCGAAGUUCGUCCGUGGGACUCGGAAUGGCACCAGACUUGGCGGGCGGCCUCCGUGUGCCAAAAAUAGGCCACCGGCACAGCCGCGCCCAAAAAACAACCCCCGAUGUUCGGGGUCCCAAGACCCCCAGCGGAAAAAUGGCCAAAAAACGGUGGGCUAAAGCCUUGGUGGGGUGCGUGGGCGAAGUUCGUCCGCGGGACUCGGAAUGGCACCAGACUUGGCGGGCGGCCUCCGUGUGCCAAAAAUAGGCCACGGGCACAGCCGCGCCCAAAAAACAGCCCCCGAAGUUCGGGGUCCCAAGACCCCCCAGCGGAAAAAUGGCCAAAAAAUGGGUGGGCUAUAGCCUUGGUGGGGGGCGUGGGCGAAGUUCGUCCGCGGGACUCGGAAUGGCACCAGACUUGGCGGGCGGCCUCCGUGUGCCAAAAAUAGGCCACGGGCACAGCCGCGCCCAAAAAACAGCCCCCGAAGUUCGGGGUCCCAAGACCCCCCAGCGGAAAAAUGGCCAAAAAACGGGUGGGCUAUAGCCUUGGUGGGGGGCGUGGGCGAAGUUCGUCCGUGGGACUCGGAAUGGCACCAGACUUGGCGGGCGGCCUCCGUGUGCCAAAAAUAGGCCACGGGCACAGCCGCGCCCAAAAAACAACCCCCGAAGUUCGGGGUCCCAAGACCCCCCAGCGGAAAAAUGGCCAAAAAACGGUGGGCUAUAGCCUUGGUGGGGUGCGUGGGCGAAGUUCGUCCGCGGGACUCGGAAUGGCACCAGACUUGGCGGGCGGCCUCCGUGUGCCAAAAAUAGGCCACGGGCACAGCCGGGCCCAAAAAACAGCCCCCGAAGUUCGGGGUCCCAAGACCCCCCAGCGGAAAAAUGGCCAAAAAACGGGUGGGCUAUAGCCUUGGUGGGGGGCGUGGGCGAAGUUCGUCCGCGGGACUCGGAAUGGCACCAGACUUGGCGGGCGGCCUCCGUGUGUCAAAAAUAGGCCACGGGCACAGCCGCGCCCAAAAAACCGCCCCCGAAGUUCGGGGUCCCAAGACCCCCCAGCGGAAAAAUGGCCAAAAAACGGGUCAGCUAUAGCCUUGGUGGGGGGCGUGGGCGAAGUUCGUCCGCGGGACUCGGAAUGGCACCAGACUUGGCGGGCGGCCUCCGUGUGCCAAAAAUAGGCCACGGGCACAGCCGCGCCCAAAAAACAACCCCCGAAGUUUGGGGUCCCAAGACCCCCCAGCGGAAAAAUGGCCAAAAAACGGUGGGCUAAAGCCUUGGUGGGGUGCGUGGGCGAAGUUCGUCCGCGGGACUCGGAAUGGCACCAGACUUGGCGGGCGGCCUCCGUGUGCCAAAAAUAGGCCACGGGCACAGCCGCGCCCAAUAAACAGCCCCCGAAGUUCGGGGUCCCAAGACCCCCCAGCGGAAAAAUGGCCAAAAAACGGUGGGCUAUAGCCUUGGUGGGGGGCGUGGGCGAAGUUCGUCCGCGGGACUCGGAAUGGCACCAGACUUGGCGGGCGGCCUCCGUGUGCCAAAAAUAGGCCACGGGCACAGCCGCGCCCAAAAAACAACCCCCGAAGUUCGGGGUCCCAAGACCCCCCAGCGGAAAAAUGGCCAAAAAACGGUGGGCUAUAGCCUUGGUGGGGUGCAUGGGCGAAGUUCGUCCGCGGGACUCGGAAUGGCACCAGACUUGGCGGGCGGCCUCCGUGUGCCAAAAAUAGGCCACGGGCACAGCCGCGCCCAAAAAACAGCCCCCGAAGUUCGGGGUCCCAAGACCCCCCAGCGGAAAAAUGGCCAAAAAACAGUGGGCUAUAGCCUUGGUGGGGUGCGUGGGCGAAGUUCGUCCGCGGGACAAGGAAUGGCACCAGACUUGGCGGGCGGCCUCCGUGUGCCAAAAAUAGGCCACGGGCACAGCCGCGCCCAAAAAACAGCCCCCGAAGUUCGGGGUCCCAAGACCCCCCAGCGGAAAAAUGGCCAAAAAACGGGUGGGCUAUAGCCUUGGUGGGGGGCGUGGGCGAAGUUCGUCCGCGGGACUCGGAAUGGCACCAGACUUGGCGGGCGGCCUCCGUGUGCCAAAAAUAGGCCACGGGCACAGCCGCGCCGAAAAAACAGCCCCCGAAGUUCGGGGUCCCAAGACCCCCCAGCGGAAAAAUGGCCAAAAAACGGGUGGGCUAUAGCCUUGGUGGGGGGCGUGGGCGAAGUUCGUCCGCGGGACUCGGAAUGGCACCAGACUUGGCGGGCGGCCUCCGUGUGCCAAAAAUAGGCCACGGGCACAGCCGCGUCCAAAAAACAGCCCCCGAAGUUCGGGGUCCCAAGAUCCCCCAGCGGAAAAAUGGCCAAAAAACGGUGGGCUAUAGCCUUGGUGGGGGGCGUGGGCGAAGUUCGUCCGCGGGACUCGGAAUGGCACCAGACUUGGCGGGCGGCCUCCGUGUGCCAAAUAUAGGCCAGGGGCACAGCCGCGCCCAUAAAAACAACCCCCGAAGUUCGGGGUCCCAAGACCCCCCAGCGGAAAAAUGGCCAAAAAACGGUGGGCUAAAGCCUUGGUGGGGUGCGUGGGCGAAGUUCGUCCGCGGGACUCGGAAUGGCACCAGACUUGGCGGGCGGCCUCCGUGUGCCAAAAAUAGGCCACGGGCACAGCCGCGCCCAAAAAACAGCCCCCGAAGUUCGGGGUCCCAAGACCCCCCAGCGGAAAAAUGGCCAAAAAACGGGUGGGCUAUAGCCUUGUUGGGGGGCGUGGGCGAAGUUCGUCCGCGGGACUUGGAAUGGCACCAGACAUGGCGGGCGGCCUCCGUGUGCCAAAAAUAGGCCACGGGCACAGCCGCGCCCAAAAAACAGCCCCCGAAUUUCGGGGUCCCAAGACCCCCCAGCGGAAAAAUGGCCAAAAAACGGGUGAGCUAUAGCCUUGGUGGGGGGCGUGGGCGAAGUUCGUCCGCGGGACUCGGAAGUGCACCAGACUUGGCGGGCGGCCUCCGUGUGCCAAAAAUAGGCCACGGGCACAGCCGCGCCCAAAAAACAGUCCCCAAAGUUCGGGGUCCCAAGACCCCCCAGCGGAAAAAUGGCCAAAAAACGGGAGGGCUAUAGCCUUGGAGGGGGGCGUGGGCGAAGUUCGUCCGCGGGACUCGGAAUGGCACCAGACUUGGCGGGCGGCCUCCGUGUGCCAAAAAUAGGCCACGGGCACAAUCGCGCCCAAAAAACAGCCCCCGAAGUUCGGGGUCCCAAGACCCCCCAGCGGAAAAAUGGCCAAAAAACGGGUGGGCUAUAGCCUUGGUGGGGGGCGUGGGCGAAGUUCGUCCGCGGGACUCGGAAUGGCACCAGACUUGGCGGGCGGCCUCCGUGUGCCAAAAAUAGGCCACGGGCACAGCCGCGCCAAAAAAACAGCCCCCGAAGUUCGGGGUCCCAAGACCCCCCAGCGGAAAAAUGGCCAAAAAACGGGUGGGCUAUAGCCUUGGUGGGGGGCGUGGGCGAAGUUCGUCCGCGGGACUCGGAAUGGCACCAGACUUGGCGGGCGGCCUCCGUGUGCCAAAAAUAGGCCACGGGCACAGCCGCGCCCAAAAAACAGCCCCCGAAGUUCGGGGUCCCAAGACCCCCUAGCGGAAAAAUGGCCAAAAAACGGGUGGGCUAUAGCCUUGGUGGGGGGCGUGGGCGAAGUUCGUCCGCGGGACUCGGAAUGGCACCAGACUUGGCGGGCGGCCUCCGUGUGCCAAAAAUAGGCCACGGGCACAGCCGCGCCCAAAAAACAACCCCCGAAGUUCGGGGUCCCAAGACCCCCCAGCGGAAAAAUGGCCAAAAAACGGUGGGCUAUAGCCUUGGUGGGGUGCGUGGGCGAAGUUCGUCCGCGGGACUCGGAAUGGCACCAGACUUGGCGGGCGGCCUCCGUGUGCCAAAAAUAGGCCACGGGCACAGCCGCGCCCAAAAAACAACCCCCGAAGUUCGGGGUCCCAAGACCCCCCAGCGGAAAAAUGGCCAAAAAACGGUGGGCUAUAGCCUUGGUGGGGUGCGUGGGCGAAGUUCGUCCGCGGGACUCGGAAUGGCACCAGACUUGGCGGGCGGCCUCCGUGUGCCAAAAAUAGGCCACGGGCACAGCCGCGCCCAAAAAACAGACCCCGAAGUUCGGGGUCCCAAGACCCCCCAGCGGAAAAAUGGCCAAAAAACGGUGGGCUAUAGC
rnacentral:lncRNA from 1 species